AAGUCGUAACAAGGUCUCCGUAGGUGAACCUGCGGAGGGAUCAUUAACACGUAUCCACGUAUCAACCAACGCGAACUUGGGACUUCAUUGUCCUAAUCAACUAGAAACAAACGCUGUGAUAUUGAAAACCGAGCAAUGGGUGUUGCUCAGAGUGGGGAGAGAGAGUAGGGCUCCGAAUAUUCCAUGUGAAAUAGUCAUGGGUAGGAGGCGCUCGAAACCUUCUCACUUUGUUCAGCACGGUUUUCUCAAACACUCGGAGGUCAAACUCCAAUGCUAUUGUGUCUAGUUUUAUUUUUACCAUUGCAAAAAUACACCAAUUUCACCGAUUUGUACCAAUUGACUGAUCGCAUUCAAUGGUAGAGAGAAAUCUCUAUGAUAUUGAAUACUUAGAUAUUCUAACUAAAGCACAACUCUUAGCAACGGAUAUCUUGGUUCUC
rnacentral:misc_RNA from 1 species